rnacentral:rRNA from 1 species
AAGCGUUGUUCGGAAUUACUGGGCGUAAAGGGCGCGUAGGCGGCCCUCUAAGUCGGACGUGAAAUCCCUCGGCUCAACCGGGGAACUGCGUCCGAUACUGGAGGGCUUGGAUCCGGGAGAGGGAUGCGGAAUUCCAGGUGUAGCGGUGAAAUGCGUAGAUAUCUGGAGGAACACCGGUGGCGAAGGCGGCAUCCUGGACCGGCAUCGACGCUGAGGCGCGAAAGCCAGGGGAGC